AGAUCGAGACUCGUAUGGGGAGCUAAACCCGACUAGGUGGGAUAGGCGACGGUGGGUUCUGUCUUGGUUCUGUCCCAUCUACUGUCCUCGCCGUUCCCCUCUCAAUUCUCUCUCCGCACGGCGGCACGGAGAGAAAUCCUUAGUGAUUCGGCGGGAGCGUCGCCGGGGCCCGGCGACGACGACGAAUGGCUGCGACGCGGACCGGUGAAGAGAGAAUUGCAUCGGGAGGAGGCGGACACCAGCAAGUCGACCGGGGAAGAACGACUUGCGCGUGAGCCGUUGGUUGCGCGCGGCGGCGAGGUUCUCUGCUACAUCUACGACCAGAGCGUUGGGGGCAGAGAGAGCACGCCACCGACGGUUGGGGGCAGCAAGACCAUGUCGCUGGCCCAGCUGCUCCCGAAUCUUCUCGACACAGCGAUCGAGUCCAGUAUUGGCGCGGUAGGGCAGGACGUAUUGGCACUUGUGGCAGCAGAUUCGGGGCAGUCAACAGGCAGGGACGACCCUCAGGCACCAGCAUGGACAAAGAGGCACCUACAGAGCAACCCCCCUGUGUUGGUACAGUGUGCACGUUGGAGAAGACAAUCAAGGAAUAUGCAGAGAAAAAGACUGAAACCGUCAUAGUGCCUGAGGUUGGGAGCAGCUUCGAUACGCUGGGAGAGGCAUAUGACUACUACAACCCGUAUUCAUGGGAAAUCAGUUUUGGGAUCAGGUAUGACAAGAGCAGGCUCAACGUUGAAAGGACCAAAUGCAAGGGGUGUGAAGAAUACCUGAGAAGCACAUUCUGAAAAGGUGGACAAAAGAUGCAAGGGAUGUGCUGCCAGACCACUUAGCGCACCUCCAGAAAGACAAAAUUUCACUUAACUCUUGUGACAUUUUGCUAUUUGAACCUGUACACACAUGCGAUGGAAGUCGUGUGGCUUGGUGAUGCAAAUACAACAGCUUAUAUGAAGUAGCAUUGGAGCAACUCACGUGAAAAAUGGACGAGCUUAGUCCUAUGGCAGCUGUCUGUAACGGAAUGGGUCUGAAAGACAAGACUAGAGACAACAAACUAAACCGAAAGGAAACACGUAUUGGGGAUGGCGGACUGUGGGUUGAUAUGAGCGAUGGCGCGGGUAGUGGGGUGGGCAAUCUGGUAGGGCUUGUGGCCCCGGAGCGUGAGCGGAAACUAAAACUGGAGGUCCAACGAGCAGCAGGGAUAAGCCCCCAUAUGAUUAUUGUGGCGUGCGAAGUAAGAAAGCCAAAGGCACUGCAAAAGUAAAUGGUCUUGGUGAUUGUUGUUCAAGCAAAUGCACACGUUUCUGCAGUAUUUUUUGUCAACCGGCGCACAAAAAGUACAACAUGUCCUGACCGAGGUGAUCUGCCUCUGAAACCAAGGAAGGAGGCAAAGUGCACAAACUGCAGAGUGGGCGGCGAUCGAAAAAACUCCUACAACAAGCCCAAGGUGAUCCUGCAUACUGUUCAAACGGUAACCUUGAUGGUAUCUGCCCGGGUAGUUAAGCAUCUGCAUCAGCAUGGUAUGUGCUUUGUGGCCAUGGUCCUGGGAGGCAAUGUAUCUUAGUGUUGAGGGCUCGGUAGCUGGACAUGCAUAAACGGUUGUAUACAUAGGGAAGUCACCACCUGAUGUUCAUCUCUAGUUGGUGAUUUAGGAUGAUUGCCAUGGCUUUGCUGUGCAGCUGUCAUUCCCUUUGAAGAUUAACAUGUUGGUUAGAGGAGUAUGUUACCAACCACAUUGUCAGACAAGUUGAGUGUUUUCUGUUA